rnacentral:rRNA from 1 species
AUUGAACGCUAGCGGCAGGCCUAACACAUGCAAGUCGAGCGGAUGAAGGGAGCUUGCUCCUGGAUUCAGCGGCGGACGGGUGAGUAAUGCCUAGGAAUCUGCCUGGUAGUGGGGGACAACGUUUCGAAAGGAACGCUAAUACCGCAUACGUCCUACGGGAGAAAGCAGGGGACCUUCGGGCCUUGCGCUAUCAGAUGAGCCUAGGUCGGAUUAGCUAGUUGGGGAGGUAAAGGCUCACCAAGGCGACGAUCCGUAACUGGUCUGAGAGGAUGAUCAGUCACACUGGAACUGAGACACGGUCCAGACUCCUACGGGAGGCAGCAGUGGGGAAUAUUGGACAAUGGGCGAAAGCCUGAUCCAGCCAUGCCGCGUGUGUGAAGAAGGUCUUCGGAUUGUAAAGCACUUUAAGUUGGGAGGAAGGGUUGUAGAUUAAUACUCUGCAAUUUUGACGUUACCGACAGAAUAAGCACCGGCUAACUCUGUGCCAGCCGCCGCAGUAA